GCCGCUGGCUCCGCCCACCGCGUGGUCCAAGGACCACCACCCGCCACCGCCGCGCGAGCGUACUAUUGCGGCCGCCCUCUGCUGCGCCUGAAGAGAGAGGCGACUCUACAAGCCUCACAGCAUGCACUGUUACUAAAAAGACGAUGCGUCCUCCUGGACCUGAGAUCUGUGUGAUCGUGGGAAAGCGACGAAAAACGAACAAAGGAACAGUAAAUGGAGUAACUUGGCUAGAAUAUGGCAGUAACUACAAGGCAUGUUCUGCUCUGGCACGAAGACAACCCACCUGAGGCACCAGACACAUGAGUGAAGCCAUCUUGGACAUCCCAGUCACAGCCAAACUCACUCCUGAGUGCAUCUGCAUGAUGAACCCAGCAAUCCCCACCAUGGAGCAAAGGAUCCAUCCAGUCAACCCAAAGAAUCGUGAAAAAUAAUAAAUUGUUGUUUUAAAGUUCUUCAGUUUGGGAAUAGCUUGUUAUGCAACAAUACAUAAUUAAUACACUGGUCUCCCACUUUCAAGUUUGAUUAACUUUCAGCUAUUUUUCACAUAGCAGGCAGAGUGAUUCCAUUAAAACAUAUAUCAGAUAAUGUCACUGCACUAAGUAAACUCUACAAGGACUCUCAUCUCCCUCAGAGUAAAGGUCACAGUUGUUACAAGGCCCUACGUAAUGUGGCCCUCACCACCACUCCAUUACCUUUUUCUUAUCUACUAUUUGCUAACUUUGCUUUGUCCUCUUUUCUGUUCUGAAACAGGCUAGGCAUGGUCCUGCCUCAAGGCCUUUGCACCACCUACUCUGUCUGCUUGGAUUGUUCUUCCCACAGAUUUCUUGCUCCCUUCUUCCUUCAUGAAGAAAUGUCAUGAAAUGUCCUUCCUUCAUGAAAUGUCACCUUCUCAUUUGAGGCCUUCUGUAGUACCCCAAAGAAUGGUCCCCAAAGAUGUCCACAUCCUUAUGCCCAGAACCUGUGAAUGUGUUAUCUUAAUGGCAAAAGUGACUUUGCAAAUGUGAUUAUAUUUAAGGAUCUUAAGGAGGAGAUUAUCCUGGAUUAUCCAGGAGGGCCCAAUGUAAUCACAAGGGCCCUUAUAAGUGAAAGGGGGAGGCAACAGAGAGAAGGAGAUGUCAUAAUGAAAACAGAUCCAAGUGAUGAGAUUGCUGGCUGGGGUGGAGGUGGAGGGGGGUACAAUCCAAGGAAUGCAAGAAGCCUCUAAAAGCUAGGAAAUGUCAGGACACAAAUUCUCCCCUAGAACCUGAGGAAGAAACCCAGGUUUAUGGACACUGAUUUUAACCCAAUAAGUCCCUUUUCUGACUGCUGACCUCCAAAACUGUAAGAUAAUAAAUUUGUGUUAUUUUAAGCCAACUGAGUUUGAGAUAAUUUAGUUAUGGCAGCAAUAGGAAACUAGCACACCUUCCUAGCCAUCCUAUCUAAAAUGGCAACCCAUGUCCUUCCUGGCACUUCCUAUCUCCCUUCCAUGUUUUUUUUAAAUCAUAUAUACAAUAUAUUUUACUGUUUUACCUAUUGUCUUUUCCACCAGAAAGUAAACUCCACGUAAAUAAGGAUUGUCUGUUUUAUUCUUUGCAGUAUCUCCACUGCCUAGGAUAGCAUCUGCACAUACUGCACACUCAGUACACAUUUGUCGAAUGAGGUCAGGCGCGGUGGUUCACACCUGUAAUCCCAGCACUUUGGGAGGCCAAGGCGGGUGGAUCACCUUAGGUUAGGAGUUCGAGACCAGCCUGGCCAACAUGGUGAAACCAUGUCUCUACUAAAAAUACAAAAAGUAGUUGGGCAUGGUGGCAUGUGCCUGUAAUCCCAGCUACUUGGGAGGCUGUGGCAGGAGAGUCACUUGAAUCUGGGAGGUGGAGGUUGCAGUGAGCCAAGAUUGUGCCACUCCACUCCAGCCUGGGCAACAGAGUAAGACUCUGGCUCAAAAAAAAAAAAAAAGAAAGAAAGAAAAAAAUACAUAUUUGUUGAAUGAACAAGUGAAUGAACAAAUGUUAUGCAAAUAUAUUAUCCCUAUCUGUAGCUUGCCUUUUAAUUUUGUUAUAGUAACUUUGGUUGAAAGGAAGUUCUAAAAUCUUUAAUAUAAUCAAAUGUAUCAAUCUUUUCAACUUGUAUAUUUUAUGCCUUGUUUAAUCAACUCUGUCUUAUAUCAAAAUUAUAAAAGUAUUACCCUGUAUUUUCUUAUAAAAGUUUUGAAUCUUUUCUUUUUCCACUUAGAUCAUUAAUCAACUUGGAAUUGGUGUUACAUAGUGGUAAAUGAUUGUCCCAGGACCACAUAUUGAAUAUUUUAUCAUUUCUCCACUGAUUUGUAACAACACAGUGGUUAUAUAUCCUGUUUAUACAUGGGUCUGUCUCUAGGUUUCCGGUUCUGUUCCAGUGGUCUGUUUGCUUACCCUUCUACUAAUAGCACAUUGGCCUAAUUACUAUAACUUUAUAAUGUGGCUCAAUCUCUGGAAAACCACAUACCUCUCCCCUCCUCUUUCUACAAUAUUCUUAUAUUUUGCAACUGGCCUUUACUGUUUUGUAUUAUUUUUAACAAUACCUUAUAUACCCACAUAUAUUAGAUGCUCUUAGCAUCACUAUUUAUAGCAUCUAAAAAUUGGAAAUUAUUUAAAUGUCCACCAAUACAUUAGUUAAAUAAAUUAGGUUAUACUCACAUAGUGGAAUACGAUACUGGCUUUCAAAAGAAUGAGGUAAAUUUACAUAUCUACAUUAAAAGGUAUUCAAGAUAUCAGAAAAAAGGGCAAGUUGCAAAACAAUAUUUAGAGUAAGAACCUAUUCAUGAAUUUUUUUAAUGUAAUUUGUGUUACAUGUAGAAAAAAAUAUGGGCAAGAAUACAUCAAAAUGUUAACAGUGGUUAUAUCUGAGGAUCAGGAAUAGGAAGAACAUUCGCUUUCUAAGAAGGACCAUCAUUGAGGAACAGACCCUCACCAGACACCAAAUCUUCAGGCAUCUUG
rnacentral:lncRNA from 10 species